ACAAUCCAGUCGAUCGAGUUACAAUGACAUUUACGUAUUUAAACCUCACUUGCCUCUGAAUGCAACGCUUCUUCACAGGUCAGCCCUAUAGUCACAACACGAUAUAUUCAAUAGGAAGAAAUGCCAGCGUAGGUAUAUAGGUCAAGCCAUUAUGUUGUUGUUCAGUGUAUGUUCAGUGUGACUGAACUUCCCCGCGUCACAGUACGAUAUCCACCCUGAUGUUUACUUGUUCUAAAAAGAGACUCAGGCUGUAUAUUUCGCCACUUUUAUGUGUGCCUGUAUUCAACAGGACAGUCUUAAGAGAUACGUGUUGACUGUACGGAUAGGCGUCACGUACAAGGACAUCAGACAUCGCUUACCUGUUGGGGAGUGAAGAGUAUUAUACCGUCCCCUCAACCGUCUUCAGUGACAUUCUAAUAUUAUGGAAACAACAUGGCGACAUGGAUUAUAUCUGGUUCUUCAUGGGGUAUUUUUGUGUUCUACCACCGUUCACCCAGAAACAACUACAACAAGUCCUGGCGUUUGUGGACCCCUGCAGUUAACGGCUGGAUCACAAACCCGAUACCUAGAAUCACCAGGCUACCCCGUCGCUAUACAGCAAAAGCUCAGAUGCAAAUGGGACAUCAAAGCAAAUGAGGGAGAGAGGGUUCGAGUUGUCUUUCUUGAUUACAACAUUAUAAAUCUGUCCAACUGUAAAGAUGAUUAUGUGAAGAUCUUUGACGGAAUCGACCCAUUCAGCUCACAACUGGAAGUACUUUGCAAGUUCACUCAGCAUAGUCUCACAAUAACUAGUACAGGGAGAUAUAUGAGGAUUGAGUUAAAAAACAAACCUCUUUGUAUCAGGCAGAGGGUUCGAGUUAACGUACACCAGUGGUGAUUUUGAAGUCCAACGACACCUUGAUGUAACUAGCGAACAUUUAAUCCAAUUAUUUUCUCCUGGAUACCCAGGUAAUUUUGAAGGUAAAUACCAUCUUACCUGGAGGAUAGAAGCUGGUUCAGUGGGAAAAAUCCUUCAAAUGAUUGUUAAAGAAUCACAUCUUCCGUACAACCAUAAAUGUGGCACAGAUUAUUUGGAAGCACAUGAUGGCUAUGACUCGUCAAGCAUAUCUUUGGCAAAGUGGUGCGGAGACGAGAGGCCAUCUAAAGACAGCUCAGGAUCGCACAUAUUCCUUGUAUCCCAUGCUAGUAGUGUUGAGACCCGUGGAGUUUUUAUGAUCAACUUUUUUGUGGUGCUAAAACCACACCAGGAGUCUGGAGACAGCGUGAAAACAACCACCAUACUUUUGUUAUGCAUUGCAGUUGUCCUAGUUCUGGUAAUGCUCUUCAGUGUUUACAAAAUUCGCCAGAGACGACGCCAUCGGUCAUCACACACUGAUCAUGCUUUCGUGGCCACCACGAUGUCUUCAAACCCAGCACUUCAGGCACCACACCAAGCAGCGGCUAUGCCAGCUGGGGGCGAAACAGAAUUACCUCCCUACACCUCAGCUGCUCAAAGCCAGCCUCCCCCGUCAUACGAAAGUCUGGAGUUUGGACCCAACAAUGUAAACGUAGCAGCGAAGAUGUUAUUCUGUCUGAUAGACGUAUGGGGAUUAAUACAUGGAACUGUACAGUUGAAUGCCUUCAAUACGACAAGACAGGAUGUGUUAUAGGAGAAUUAAUAUCAACACUGUUUUCUAAAGCAAUCCACUGUAUAUAGACGUGAAGGUGAUAGCAUACUUGGAGGAUACUAAUAAACGGUCGUUUGAAAGAGAGAGAGAGAGGAGAUGCGUGUGCGUGUGCAUGUAACUUGAGCUUAUCACAGAGUUUGAAUAAUGAAAUACUGUACAAAAGAUCAAAAUGAGAUUUACAUACAAUACCACUGCAUUGAAACUGAUUAUUUUAUAUGUAUUCAGUAAGUAAAUGAUGAUCUUAUUAGUACUCUUAACUUAUAUUUGUUGUUAAAAAGAUUCAGUAUUUGAUAAGAAUGAUCGUGUAUGUUACCUCAAUGUAAAAUGUCUUGCAAUGUAAACUACCAACAUUUA